CAAAAUGUAGCUUAACCUAAAGCAUCUUGCUUACACCAAGAAAAUACCUAUUUAAUCUAGGUCAUUUUGA
rnacentral:tRNA from 1 species